rnacentral:rRNA from 1 species
AGAGUUUGAUCAUGGCUCAGAUUGAACGCUGGCGGUAUGCUUAACACAUGCAAGUCGAACGGCAGCACGAGAGAGCUUGCUCUCUUGGUGGCGAGUGGCGGACGGGUGAGUAACGCGUAGGAAUCUGCCUAAUAGUGGGGGACAACUCGGGGAAACUCGAGCUAAUACCGCAUACGCCCUACGGGGGAAAGCGGGGGAUCUUCGGACCUCGCGCUAUUAGAUGAGCCUGCGUUGGAUUAGCUUGUUGGUGAGGUAAUGGCUCACCAAGGCGACGAUCCAUAGCUGGUCUGAGAGGACGAUCAGCCACACUGGGACUGAGACACGGCCCAGACUCCUACGGGAGGCAGCAGUGGGGAAUAUUGGACAAUGGGGGAAACCCUGAUCCAGCAAUACCGCGUGUGUGAAGAAGGCCUGCGGGUUGUAAAGCACUUUCAAUUGGGAAGAAAAGCUUAGAGUUAAUACCUCUGAGUCUUGACGUUACCUUUAGAAGAAGCACCGGCUAACUCCGUGCCAGCAGCCGCGGUAAUACGGAGGGUGCAAGCGUUAAUCGGAAUUACUGGGCGUAAAGCGCGCGUAGGUGGUUUGGUAAGUCAGAUGUGAAAGCCCUGGGCUCAACCUGGGAAUUGCAUUUGAUACUGCUUGACUAGAGUAUGGUAGAGGGAAGCGGAAUUCCGGGUGUAGCGGUGAAAUGCGUAGAUAUCCGGAGGAACAUCAGUGGCGAAGGCGGCUUCCUGGACCAAUACUGACACUGAGGUGCGAAAGCGUGGGUAGCAAACAGGAUUAGAUACCCUAGUAGUCC